rnacentral:lncRNA from 1 species
GCAACAGAUCGGGCCGCCCGUUAUACGACCUGAUCCGGCAUGAAAUGAGCCGUGUCUAGCAUGGCCCGUUAGCUACAGUAACGGAUCAUACUAGGCUCGAUCCAAGGGGCCGAGCUAGGCUGAAAGUUUGCGGCCCGCGGUCCAGAUCCGACACGAUCGAUGAAGACCUAAGUUGGCACGACCUGUGGGCUAGGCACAACACGACUCCCUGGCCGGCCCGGUCCAGGCCUGGCACGCGUGGAGAUUUUUUUUUGAGAUUUUUUUUUGUAAAAAUAGAUGUGAGAUUUUUUUGUAAAAACAAAAAAUCACUUUGUAAUGGUGGGGGGUUUGGCAUAAACCCCUAUCGAUUUAUUAAUAUCAAUCAAAAUGGUACGAGGGAGGGAGGGGAUAGGUCUGACCGCCAAAUACAAUGA